CUGAUCACACAGUCAGGCUCCAGCAUCUUGUUAUUGAAGUUUUCAAGAGACUGUCACCAUGGCGACGAUGUUGACCGUCCUUAUCCUACUCAGCAUUGCCUUUGCAUGGCAGGAGGCCUUCCAGGCUUCUGGUCUAGCAGAUGUUAGGAGGAGGCAAGAGGCAGGAGGCCUUCCUGGCUUCUGGUCUAGCAGAUGUUAGGAGGCAGGAGGCCUUCCAGGCUUCUGGUCUAGCAGAUGUUAGGAGGAGGCAGCAUUUUUUUCUCUCUUUUUGCAGUUCUGUCACUAUUGUGAAAGUUGUUUCAGACUUAAAGCAUAUAGCCCAAUUGACAAGUACUUCAUGACUGUGCC
rnacentral:lncRNA from 1 species